UGUCGGCUGAAUCAGAGAUUGGCUGACACAAAUUAAAACCUUUUACAUUUAGGAAAUGACUAUGUCUCUGAAUGCAGAAACUAAAGCAGCAAUCGUUGCUGAAUACGCACAAGGCGC
rnacentral:ncRNA from 1 species